GACGAACGCUGGCGGCGUGCCUAAUACAUGCAAGUAGAACGCACAGUUUAUACCGUAGCUUGCUACACCAUAGACUGUGAGUUGCGAACGGGUGAGUAACGCGUAGGUAACCUGCCUGGUAGCGGGGGAUAACUAUUGGAAACGAUAGCUAAUACCGCAUAAUAUUGAAUAUUGCAUGAUAAUUAAUUGAAAGGUGCAAUUGCACCACUACCAGAUGGACCUGCGUUGUAUUAGCUAGUAGGUGAGGUAACGGCUCACCUAGGCGACGAUACAUAGCCGACCUGAGAGGGUGAUCGGCCACACUGGGACUGAGACACGGCCCAGACUCCUACGGGAGGCAGCAGUAGGGAAUCUUCGGCAAUGGACGAAAGUCUGACCGAGCAACGCCGCGUGAGUGAAGAAGGUUUUCGGAUCGUAAAGCUCUGUUGUAAGAGAAGAACGGGUGUGAGAGUGGAAAGUUCACACUGUGACGGUAUCUUACCAGAAAGGGACGGCUAACUACGUG
rnacentral:rRNA from 1 species